UGGACUCAUGGCGGACGGGUGAGUAACGCGUAAAGAACUUGCCCUUUAGACUGGGAUAACAGAGGGAAACUUCUGAUAAUACUGGAUAAGUUAGUAUAUCGCAUGAUAUGCGAAUGAAAGCUACGGCACUAAAGGAGAGCUUUGCGUCCUAUUAGCUAGUUGGUAAGGUAAGAGCUUACCAAGGCGAUGAUAGGUAGCCGGCCUGAGAGGGUGGACGGCCACAAGGGGACUGAGAUACGGCCCUUACUCCUACGGGAGGCAGCAGUGGGGAAUAUUGGACAAUGGAGGGAACUCUGAUCCAGCAAUUCUGUGUGUGUGAAGAAGGUUUUAGGACUGUAAAACACUUUUAGUAGGGAAGAAAAAAAUGACGGUACCUACAGAAGAAGCAACGGCUAAAUACGUGCCAGCAGCCGCGGUAAUACGUAUGUUGCGAGCGUUAUCCGGAAUUAUUGGGCUUAAAGGGCAUCUAGGCGGUAAGACAAGUUGAAGGUGAAAACCUGUGGCUCAACCAUAGGCUUGCCUACAAAACUGUUGAACUAGAGUACUGGAAAGGUGGGUGGAACU
rnacentral:rRNA from 1 species